rnacentral:rRNA from 1 species
AGAGUUUGAUCAUGGCUCAGGAUGAACGCUAGCGGCAGGCUUAACACAUGCAAGUCGAGGGGCAGCAUAAUGGAUAGCAAUAUCUAUGGUGGCGACCGGCGCACGGGUGCGUAACGCGUAUGCAACCUACCUUUAACAGGGGGAUAACACUGAGAAAUUGGUACUAAUACCCCAUAAUAUCAUAGAAGGCAUCUUUUAUGGUUGAAAAUUCCGAUGGUUAGAGAUGGGGCAUGCGUUGUAUUAGCUAGUUGGUGGGGUAACGGCUCACCAAGGCGACGAUACAUAGGGGGGACUGGAGAGGUUAACCCCCCACAACUCGGUACUGAGACACGGACCAGACUCCUACGGGAGCA